UGUGCCCCCUCAACAAUAACAAAAAUAAUAAUUAAUCAAAUUUCUGUUUAAUAAAGUUAUAUAGCUGGCGUGAGUCACGUGACCAUACCGUUGUUGGUACAAGAUCUGCUCGGGUGCAAGAUCGGCUCGGGGUCCGUCGACUGCCGGUGACGUCAAAGUAGUUGAUUGGCUGAACAUGAACCUUACAGAACUGCGUAAUCAUUUUACGUUGUUAUCACGUUACGUUGGUCCAGGCAAAUUUUUCUGUUGGAAAGAUGGACAGCUUUUACAAAGAAAUCCAUCAUUACCUCUUUGAAAAUACACUUUUAGCAUAGAGCUGCAUGUAUAUUAGAGCUGAACGAUUAACUGCAUGUGCAAUUAAAUUGCGAUGUGACAAAAGAUUUUCUAAUCGCAAAGGCUGCAAUUUGGCAGCGAGUGGUUAGCGCAAUGCUAAUAUACGUGGAAAAACCCAUAGGAAUGCUAAUGCUAAUAUCACCAAUUACAUUCUUACAAAUUAUGAAUUAGAAACGUGCCAAAUGAUUACAUUUGGAGUCUAAUAGAAAGUAAAACUACCAUCAAUCAUAUAAGUACAGACAGGUAUUUUAGUAAAGCCAGAAAACUUUUAACUCCAGAGUUUUGGCUAGCAGCUAUGAGCGUACCUGAACUACGCAUAGAAAAGACGUCAAAAACUAAACACAAAAUACUUCAAUAAACGGGACACACUUCUUUCCUGCAAAUGCAAUUUCACAGGUUUUGCUAAUACCUAUGAUCCUUCAAGGGAUGUGCUCAAAGAGGAGUUCAACAUUAUGAAUACAACAUAGUGUUUUAUUUUACAAAUACCAUUAUAAACACAAACUUACGUCGUAAGAAACAUUAUUUUAAUAACGAAACUGCUAAAUUCUUUCCAACAGUAUAGAUGUGUAGUGUAUUUUGUCCGAGUGGUCUGCCGUACUUUGACGUCAUCGGCAGUCGAAGGACCCCGAGCCGAUCUUGCACCCGAGCAGAUCCUGUACUGACACCGUCUCUUCCUCACGCCAGAGCGCACAGCCGGUUACAACAAGCUGCGAGUACCCACAUUUUCUUCAUGGCCGAGCGAGAGGUGCAGAGCUUUUAGGACAUACAUAUUGAUUGGGAGAAACGGACUAACCGACAUGCCUCGUAAGGAGAGGAGGCAGAAGCAGCAACAGAAAGAGCUACAUGAGGCAGCUAAAAGCAGUGGGUCCCUCACCAGCUGGAUAAAAAAAAGAGUACAGGUAAGUUGCAUCACAGCAACAAGUGUAGAGACAAUAAUAUACACAACUGCAAUGUUUUGAUGCCAGAAAAAGUUUUUUUGUUAGCUACUUGAUCAUGGAUUAGGUGCAAGAUCUGAUAAAUGUGAAUAACUACAUAAUUCAUUCAUACAAUAGCUAAUUUUGCCUUGUUCUCAGAUGGACAGCAGGUGGAGAGUGACAGAUCACUUGAGGAGAUUGAAGACACACACACACACACACACACACACACACACACACACACACACACACACACACACACACACAACUCUUUCUGUUUAUAUUUCUGUCACAUUCUUAUCUCUGACAUAAACUCCUCUAUUAUCCACCAAUGUUUAGAUUUCCAUUUAUUUACCACAGGUGUUGUCUCAGAUAUUUCUGUCUUACAGUUCUAAAGUUUUCACCAAUUUUUGCCAUUUUUUAUUAUCUUACAAUAAUUUUGUAAUUGACUAACAUUUCUCCUCUGUUCGUUUUACUACCUACAGUCUGAGAUCAACACAGCCUUGCCCUCCAGCAUCAUCAGCAGCAGCAAGAGGAGCAACCCUGCAACAGCUACAUUGUACCUAGGGCUGGGCGAUAUGGCAAAAAUAGAAUAUCACGAUUUUUCCAAUAUUUUAUCACGAUUUCGAUUUUAUCACGAUUUUUUAUCCAUGAAUAGCAUAACUUCAAUUGCGUAUUAAAGAAGAGAAACAUUGAAUAAAUAAACAUUUAUUCAUAUUAGGGAUAAUCAACACAGUGCUAACACACUUAUAUUUUAAACUCACACCAGAGAUGAUAAAAGCCCUGAGAGAAACAAUUACAAAAAUCAGUUUCUCGUUUUUCAAGUAACUUAACAUAAAUUAAAAUCGUAAACGUAUUUUAAGUGCAAACAUGUCAAUUGCAAACGUAUUGUGCAAACAUUAACUUGUUCAAAAUACUAUGUAGCUCCCAGUUGCUCAUGUAGUGGAUA